rnacentral:rRNA from 1 species
GACGAACGCUGGCGGCAUGCCUAAUACAUGCAAGUCGAGCGAACAGAUGAAGUGCUUGCACUUUUGACGUUAGCGGCGAACGGGGGAGUAACACGUAAGGAAUCUACCUAUAAGCGGGGGAUAACAUUCGGAAACGGGUGCUAAUACCGCAUAAUAUCUUCUUCCGCAUGGAAGAAGAUUGAAAGACGGCUCUGCUGUCACUUAUAGAUGACCUUGCGGUGCAUUAGUUAGUUGGUGGGGUAACGGCCUACCAAGACGAUGAUGCAUAGCCGACCUGAGAGGGUGAUCGGCCACAUUGGGACUGAGACACGGCCCAAACUCCUACGGGAGGCAGCAGUAGGGAAUCUUCCGCAAUGGGCGAAAGCCUGACGGAGCAAUGCCGCGUGAGUGAAGAAGGCCUUCGGGUCGUAAAACUCUGUUAUAAGAGAAGAACAAAUUGUAGAGUAACUGCUACAGUCUUGACGGUAUCUUAUCAGAAAGCCACGGCUAACUACGUGCCAGCCGCCGCGGUAA